UAUAAAGAAUAUACAAAUAAUGGAAAAGGCAAGAAUGACAGAUAUCGUGCGGAAAAGCAGCGUUGGGAAAAACGUAAAAUAGAGAAAAGUACGGCUUAAUAAUAAUUUAUAUAGAAAUUUUACAAAUUCCAUAUAGUGUGUCAAGAUAUUGUACGAGAGCUGUUAUAAAUUCCAAGAGGAUUUUUGUAUAAGGACAUUUACAAGGCGGAUGAAAUUGGUGCAAAGUUUUGAUCUACAAAACGUCAUUUCGUUGGAAGUGAAGACUUUUUCUUCUUCUUCUUUUUUUAUAAAAAUAAGUCGAAGGAAAUCUUUUAAAAUUGGCCAAUUUUGCAAAAAUUUACGUCUUGGCAUUGAAGCCUUACCAGAAGAUUGGGAAGUUCCCAAACACAAUGGUUCCAGAGAUGGGAUAACAUAUUAGUUGAAAAGCGGCUUGAAAACAAAAAUCAUCUGUUCGAGAAAUUCAAAGUGUGCAAAAGAGAAAUUAUCGCCACUGUAGAAUUUAAUUUUUCACACAAUUUCGGUUUCUUUUUUUAACCAAUUUGCAACACAGUUUUCCCAGGGCUCCAUCUUUUUAUGCGAACACGAUUGAAUAAAACGCCACGAAAUCACGAAGUGAUAUGACUGAAGAGCGUUGGCGAUCUUUAUGAAGACAAAUCCUACUUCGAAAAGAGAAUGCGAAAUCGCUCUAAGUAUGAAAGUUUAUAGAGGUGUAUAAUUAUGCUUAUU